GCGGGUGUAGUUCAGUGGUAGAAUGUCUGCUUCCCAAGCAGAAGAUCGCCGGUUCGAGCCCGGUCACCCGCUCCA
rnacentral:tRNA from 1 species